CCGAUGAUCGAUAGUCAGAGUACUCUAAAAAAAUUCGACACCCGAAAUAGUGAGUAACCUUAUCAUCAUCUUGAUUAUCUAAAGUGAAUUUUAAUUCAUUUUUGUGAUUUUAUGGAAAAUGAAUUUAAAUGGUAAAUCUUUAUGUUUUAUAAGCAAAAAUGUGAUUAAAUUAAAUGAUUUUAUAAAAUUAUCUUGAAAUUGAAUGAUGGUUUUGAAAAUUGAGUAAUUAGAGACUAAUUGCUGUGUUAUAAAUCAUGGUUUGAAUUGAAUGGCUUAUGACAAUAUUGGCAUGAAUGGUUGAAUUCGUAAAUGUGCUGAAAAUGUAUGAACUGUUGAUUUGCCUUGAGAGGCUGUAAAAUAAAAUAAUUACCAUGUCAUGCUAUGGCAAAUUUUAUUGUAUGGUGGGUUUAGCUUCUGCAGUGGGCGAGUUUUGUGAACCAACCUAUUAGAGGGACACGGAAUCCUGUUAUAUACGUACCUCGGUCAGAGAGGCGCAUAGGGUAACUCCCGAGGUAAAACUUUAGAGUUCACUUCACGCCAAACCACCACAUGAGGGUGAACUCAGCCAACGCCAAGGAAUGGUUAUGUUUUCAAAAUAAAAACAUGAUUUAUGCGUACAUUACUUUUUAACAGCCUUGGCGGACUCGGUUGGGAUAGCCCCCGGUCAAGGUAUCCCUAACAACUGAGUAUGAGAAUGAUUUUGGCACGAGCCAAACUUUUCAGGAAAUCAUAAGCCUUGUUGUUUAUUUGGGUGAAAUGAAUCUAUUUUAUCUUAUUAAAACGAGUUCGAAAUGCUGUGAAUCAUUUUUAUGCUAAUCUAUUUUAUCUAUCUCCAUUUACUCGGCUUUAGAUAUUUUAGAUGAUAUUUGUUUACUCACUGGGAUUAUAUAAUCUCACCACCCUCCUUUCCACCUAUUUCAGGCUCAAGAUAGUCGGUAGAUAGCUCAUUUCGUUAAGGGCUAUAAUUGGCUUUACUUCCUCAAAAAUCGUAGGUUCACAGCCUUCGUUCACCUUUGUCAUUUGGGGGCCCACGUGUCAUUGUAAAUUAAAUUACAUACCUUGACUAUCUAUAUUACAGU
rnacentral:lncRNA from 1 species